GACGAACGCUGGCGGCGUGCCUAAUACAUGCAAGUAGAACGCUGAAGAAGAGGAGCUUGCUCUUCUUGGAUGAGUUGCGAACGGGUGAGUAACGCGUAGGUAACCUGCCUUGUAGCGGGGGAUAACUAUUGGAAACGAUAGCUAAUACCGCAUAACAAUGGAUGACACAUGUCAUUUAUUUGAAAGGGGCAAUUGCUCCACUACAAGAUGGACCUGCGUUGUAUUAGCUAGUAGGUGAGGUAACGGCUCACCUAGGCGACGAUACAUAGCCGACCUGAGAGGGUGAUCGGCCACACUGGGACUGAGACACGGCCCAGACUCCUACGGGAGGCAGCAGUAGGGAAUCUUCGGCAAUGGGGGCAACCCUGACCGAGCAACGCCGCGUGAGUGAAGAAGGUUUUCGGAUCGUAAAGCUCUGUUGUAAGUCAAGAACGAGUGUGAGAGUGGAAAGUUCACACUGUGACGGUAGCUUACCAGAAAGGGACGGCUAACUACGUGCCAGCAGCCGCGGUAAUACGUAGGUCCCGAGCGUUGUCCGGAUUUAUUGGGGCGUAAGCGAGCGCAGGCGGUUUGAUAAGUCUGAAGUUAAAGGCUGUGGCUCAACCAUAGUUCGCUUUGGAAACUGUCAAACUUGAGUGCAGAAGGGGAGAGUGGAAUUCCAUGUGUAGCGGUGAAAUGCGUAGAUAUAUGGAGGAACACCGGUGGCGAAAGCGGCUCUCUGGUCUGUAACUGACGCUGAGGCUCGAAAGCGUGGGGAGCGAACAGGAUUAGAUACCCUGGUAGUCCACGCCGUAAACGAUGAGUGCUAGGUGUUGGAUCCUUUCCGGGAUUCAGUGCCGCAGCUAACGCAUUAAGCACUCCGCCUGGGGAGUACGACCGCAAGGUUGAAACUCAAAGGAAUUGACGGGGGCCCGCACAAGCGGUGGAGCAUGUGGUUUAAUUCGAAGCAACGCGAAGAACCUUACCAGGUCUUGACAUCCCGAUGCUAUUUCUAGAGAUAGAAAGUUACUUCGGUACAUCGGUGACAGGUGGUGCAUGGUUGUCGUCAGCUCGUGUCGUGAGAUGUUGGGUUAAGUCCCGCAACGAGCGCAACCCCUAUUGUUAGUUGCCAUCAUUCAGUUGGGCACUCUAGCGAGACUGCCGGUAAUAAACCGGAGGAAGGUGGGGAUGACGUCAAAUCAUCAUGCCCCUUAUGACCUGGGCUACACACGUGCUACAAUGGUUGGUACAACGAGUUGCGAGUCGGUGACGGCAAGCUAAUCUCUUAAAGCCAAUCUCAGUUCGGAUUGUAGGCUGCAACUCGCCUACAUGAAGUUGGAAUCGCUAGUAAUCGCGGAUCAGCACGCCGCGGUGAAUACGUUCCCGGGCCU
rnacentral:rRNA from 1 species